rnacentral:antisense_RNA from 1 species
ACAAUGACUUCCAGCUGGAGCAGCCCAGGCAGCCUGCGCGCUCACUCGCUUGCUUGCGCUGGGCUUCAGAGCGCUGGGAAUUUGCACUCUUCGUCUGUUAAAACGCGGUCAUUCUUUUGCUUUCAAAUCUAACUUUACGACAGUUAGCAACUUCAAGAACGCUUCCAAAUGGAUAAAUCUUUCCAGAACAUUUCUUGCUUCAAAACAGCUGCAUUUUUGGAAGAAAGUCCACAACUGACAACUAAGUAAAACCCUCCUGGUGGAUAGCAUAAAUCUGCUUUGUUGAAGCUGCUCAUUUGUCUGAUCUAUGAGUCUAGAAGAUGCAAACUCCCUUCUCAGCUUAUGCAAAAAUACUUCCAGUAAAAACAAGCCCUUUGGCCCCUUUCUUCUGUCAGUCCAGAUUUCAGCAUGUUCUUCGCU